CACGUAGAUAACCUGCCUUUUAGAGGGGAAUAACUCUUCGAAAGAAGGGCUAAUACCGCAUAAGUUCUAUACCGAUAGGCAUAGAAGAAACCCUUGUCUACUUCGGUUCGCCGAGGAGGUGGGGGGCUAAAAGAGGGGUCUGCGGCGGAUUAGCUAGAUGGUGGGGUAAAGGCCUACCAUGGCGACGAUCCGUAGCUGGUCUGAGAGGACGACCAGCCACACUGGGACUGAGAAACGGCCCAG
rnacentral:rRNA from 1 species